rnacentral:misc_RNA from 1 species
GAAGAAUCGCACCAUUGAGAAGGUACAGAAUUAAUUGUUUCUCUUGGAUCUGAUUUUGUAUGUCUUGAUCCUUUGUAACUUUCACCUAAGAUUGAUUUAAAAUUUCUAGUUUUGUAUAUCAAAGAUAUGCAAGUGCUGUUGGGAAAUUUGGGAACACAUGCAAUGCAUUUAUGACUAAGGUUGCAAUGGUAUUUAGUGAUAAUUGGAGAACAAUACAUUUGAGCCAAAAAAAAAAAAAAA